UAGCAUUUCAUGUCAUGUCAUGGAGGAGUGCAAAGUCAUGUGCCACUUUACUUGAUUAUCAUCAUCAGAAGCCCCUCCCGUGACGCUCUCCAAAUUUGUGGGUUAUUUGUACACCCCACCGGCUGCCCGGAGUCGGUGGCUACCUAACUGUUAGCUGUAAUGGACGAUGUCGCCGAUUAGGCAGGAUUAAUUUGCUCCAUGCAUCGUGGGGGCUAGACCCCAGACUCUCGCCACGUGAUCGACUACCAACAAUCAUAACAGCGGUCGUCAGUUGUGAGACGCCAGUGUCCUACCCUGGGGCACGCCGUACAGUUAUAUGGGGGUUCUUACGGCACCAUGAUGACCAACAAGUUCGACGAGCUGCUCACCCAGCUGGGGACCGGCAAGUGGAACCUGAUCUAUUUCAUCAGCGCAGGCUACUGGUGUUUCCUCCUGCCGCCGCAGAACUUCAACAUGAUGUUCUACGCCCCAGCAGUCAACUACACGUGCCUACCACCCGAAGGAGAGAACAUCACUCACAUAUCAGAGUAAGUGACUGCCUCGUAC